GUCCCAGUAGCUCAGUAGGAUAGAGCACUCGCCUUCUAAGCGAGUUGUCGGGGGUUCGAAUCCCUCCUGGGACGCCA
rnacentral:tRNA from 1 species